UCUCUAUGAUAACCCUGAACCUAAAAACUCAACACAAGAAGUCUCGACUCAGGAGAAAUUUAGAAAAUGUCUCAUAGGAAUUCUAAGCAAGGAAUGGGCAAUAUCUUUAAUUUAUCUCAGUGAGGAGUAAUUGUUCACCCUGUUGCCAUAAAGUCACUGACAACGGACAUGUGGGAUUGUUACUUCCUAAGAUCCUUAAGUAACUUGAGCCUGUGGUCCUGCUCUACCACAAUGCAGUACUACAUCAUGUUAUUAGUUCUGAGAUUCUUAAAAAAGGGCCAAAUCAGUGCAUCUAAUACACAAAAAAACCUGUGUUAAUGCCAGUGGUAAAGUGAAGUGAAAGGGGUGGGAGGUUACUACUUUAUUACAGGGGUCAGUAAGUGGCCUCUUCAAAUACAAAUGACCUAUAAUGUUUCAAAGUUAUUCAUUCCAAAAAAUUAAAUGCAGCUGAUUUCUCCUCUUUAAGAGGGUGUCAUGUACCCACACAGAUCACCAUUUCCCUGUGUCCAACAUACUAUUUGGGAACAGCCUCUAACCCUCAUCAGAGCCAGAGCAAGUGCCCUCCACCUGUCCAUCUUUUAAUGCAGAUGUUUAUUCACUAGGUAAUCACUCGAAGGAUUCGUCAGAUCAAGCAGCUGAAAAAAGGCCUUAAAGACAGGGGAGUUAUGCAACUCCUCAAGGACAGACCAGAGACUGUUUCCAUUUUUUUCCCCCGUUCCUUGAGCUUGGUGGGCAUACUCGAGAUGAUUCUUGAAAGAAUCAUUUUGCUUUCAAAUGAUUCCUCUGACCGUGAGCAGGAGUGCAACAUGGAAAAGCAGUGCUCCACUCUCGCAUUUUUCCGGCAGUAUGUGGAAAAUGCCAGUUCGGAGAACUUGAAAGACCUCCUCAAGUUCCUACAAAUUCCUGGACAUCAUACAGCCUACAAGGACUUCAAACAAGCUCUUGAAGCAGCUAUUUGUGCAGCCAACAUUGGAUUUGGGUUUAUCUAGCUACUCAAGGGACAGUUGCAAGGACUGUUAUUUGUCCUCUUUAUGCAGCAGUGCUACAUGUUCAUUUUCACUCAGUACAUUAACAUGAACUUGGCUACAUGUACAGUUACUAUUACAAUGUUGGCCAUUAAAUUGCAGGGACAGAACAAAUGAUUUGGUAUAGUUUUUAGCAAUGUGUCAGCAAGACCAUUGGCUUUGACACAUAGAAGAGGUGUUUCUGUUUUUGAAAUUGAUUGUGGUUCUUAACAUUCCAGGUGCUUGUUAUAGUUUCCUUUGGGUGUUACUGAGGAUACUAAAAAAAAUAUUGUUUGCAAAGCACUGUUAAUGUGUUGCUUAUGUAGAGUGCUAAUGAUUUGCUAAUGAUGAUGUGCUAAUGAUAGUUGUAACAAUACAUUUAGGACUGAUGAGGCAUAAUCCAAACUCAUUUAUCCUGUUCUGUGCAUAAGUUUAACAAGAGGUCACCAGUACAAAACUAAUACCAGGAGCAGACACUGAAGUGCCAAGUGUCUGCAGGUUAUUAUUUCAAGCAAAACCUGCACCAGGUAAAUUCUCCUAUCGGUUCCUUCUCCAUAGCGCAAGCUUUGUUAAUAAGUAUAAUCACUUGUUAUAGAAUCUGAUUGAAAGAAAAACCUGCCAACUCUUUGACACUCCAUGGCACAAGGUUAACUACACAUAGUUAAAGAUUGACUUUUUUUUUAUGAUGGAAAUUCAGUCAUGUCUGUGAAUUGGUUGCUGAUGCACCUCAUUGCUGCAAUGUGGAAUAUGGUGGACUUUUUUAUUGCCUUGAAUGUUGUUUUAGCUCAGUUAAACUCUCCUGAGCACGUUGAUAUAAAAAUGUUGGAGCUGGAGUCUUCCUGUAACAUAAAUUCACGGCAUUAUUGUAGAAUUAUUAAGCCCCAUCAUUCACUGUUUUUUAAAUUGAUCACAGUGAUGAGUGAUGGCUAGUCAGUUGAAUACACUAAAGUGCUCCCCCACCUGAUCCUCUUGCAUUUAUAAUUCUAAAGAAAAAAAGCUCAGAAAAAUCCUCACAGCUUGCUUGUGAGACUUUGAUAUUGAAAGUUGAGCGACGUGACUAUGGUGUUUGUCUAUUGUGAAACUGUGGAUGUAUUGUCCAGAUUAUUGCAAGCAGAACCAGGGUAUGUCCAAGAUCCAGCUAAGCCACGGUAAUUCAGCCUUGCAGAGUCCAACAGGCCAGAAUGGACCUUUUCUUUGACAAACUACUCUCCGGUUCUAAGUUAAUCACUCAGCAAAUUGAUUAAUUAAUCGGCCUCUCCUGUAGUAUUUGUGUAUUAGUUGAUGCUUGUUGGUGAUAUUUCCACAAUCUAUUUUUGUCUCAGAUCAAUAUACUAUACUAUAAUAUUGCGAGAUAUAUUCCUGAGAGAAACAUUUGGACUUCUUUUCUGUUUGGGUUCUUUCUGGCAAUGAUUAAGAUCAAAUGAUAAAUCAUUCUCUUGAUUAUUAUUUUUGUUUCUUUUAACAUCUGGUUUAGUUUCCACUGCCUGUAAAUUUAGCAUCCUUUUUUUUUUAAGAUUUAGGUAAGCUUACAUUUUAUUCAUGCCGUGCUUUUUUUCCUUCAUUUUUGGCUCAAUCUUCUGCCGCUUGUUCAGCAGUUUUAUAAGAGUUUUUUUUUAGUUUUAUAUGAUCAAGACAGUCUUCGAGCACACCACCACCUCUUUUUUACAAGUUUUAUAAGAUUGUUUUAAAGAGUGUUAUAAUAUUGUAUUGGACACUAUAUGGACAUAAUUCACCUGUUCCUGUUGGUAGUGGGUGCAUGGAAGGUUGUGUGAUGUGUACUCGCACACUUCAAGGCAUCUGUGGGCAGCCAUCACAACAGCAGGGCCAGCUUGUUUUUAAGCGGAAGUUGUAUCACCGCCAUGUUAUGUUUUUGUGUAGAAAUUGCACACAGAAGUGUAGUCAGAAAGAGAAGCUGGUCGUCUCUUAUUUCAACAACUGCCACAAUAUCACUGCUUAUACUGUUACGUAUACCUAUUUCCACUUUUAUUCAAAUACAAAUAAUUUUGCUGCCUCAACAAAUUAACAGUUAGAUUUUUACAAAAACAACAGAAGAAAUGACUAACUCUACAUAAUCAUAACUGAAUUACAGUAAUAGCAGUUAACAAAAAACCUGUGGCUGUAAAUUGGCAGCCAAAUGAGCUGUCAUAUCUUUCUAAUCUUCUAAUAUCUUUCUAAUUUCAGCAGAUCUGCCAAAGUAGAAGCAAAUAACAUAAAGCACAACAAAUGUGUACUGUUGUUGUACAGUCAUGUAAAGUCUGUUCAUCUUUACUGGUUAAGAUAAGAUUACACUUUAUUGAUCCCCAAGGGGAAAUUCAGGUGCCACAGCAGCAAUUACAGGGACUACAAGCAAAAUACGAUAAGAAAAAUAAAACAAGGUAAUUAUAGAUCAUAUAAAAAUAUAAAAAACUGUAUGAGAUAAAAUAAUAUACAAGAUUCAAUAUAGUGUCAGUGUGACUGAGAGAGACAAAAAGUCCUGAGUCUGGUGGUUGUCCAUUGAUCCAGUGGGUACAGAAUCCGCUGUGUAUCUAACAUCCAGCUUGUGCUGUGACCCAGUGAGCACUUCUGGAAACACUGUGGCAGACUGCUGAUCCAAAGCUGUGACACCAAAUGGUCCUUCACUGUGAUGUUCAGGUGAAACAUCUCUGUCUGCAGGGAGGAGGGCAGUGCAACAGAAAAAUAGUGGAGCUUGUGUUAACCUCAUACACUGCACUGCUUCAACAGUCUAACCCUGUAUUAAAUCAGGCCUAUUACAUUUUUAGACUAGAGUGUAUUGGGUAAUGUCCGUGUCCUAUACAGAUAUGGAGUUACCCAAAACUUUCACCUGCCUUUAUAAUUGUGUAUUCAGUGAAGUGACCUAUAAACGUAAUUUGAUUUGAUACAUGAUAAUUCAAUACUUAGAGGUUAUGAUGAUACUCAGAUGACAAAAUGUGCAAGCUUUUCUAAAUCAGGAGGGUUAGAUAUUAUAUUUGGAUACUGAAAUAUGGCAUAGUGGAAACAGUUAAACAGUCCCAUCUAUGGUUUCUUCCUCGUGUUUGACUUCAGGUGAGUAGUAACACAACACUGAACUGCAGUUUUAGCUGUGGUUGUUAAGACUUUCCACAGAAGAUAGAUUAUGUCAUGUUAAUGACCCAGUGCCGCAGACCACUGUGGACUAGCAGAAGAUCAGCUGAAAGC